CACCCGUGAGAGAUUCCUGCUGCUAUUUUCGAAGGUCAAGCCGGUCAUGUCUCAUGUUCCAAUGUAUUUGCGGCAGCUAGUUUACGGCAGUGCCAGGCCGGUAUGGUAGCAUCCUGUGCACGAGAUCCAGAGGAUCAGGUUCCACGCCUGGAACCCGCCAACAUUAGCUUUUCUCGUGUAUUUUUACAAAGGUAGUGGUGGUGGUUGGUGCGUCGCGCGUCAUCGAGUGGUUCGUCUGACAAGAGAAGACGCGCUGAAGAUCGAACCAUUGAGAUCUGGAGUAUAGCUUGUCCCGCGGAGAGCAGGCUCACAUCUCCAUAUUGUUUUCUCCUACCAUCAUCCAAGGAUCCAAGGACUGUAUAACAGUGGAUACUGUAUACAGGAUCACAGGCACUGCCAAACUACUGAAAUGAAGGUCAUGGCGUGUUCAAUGUCAGGCUAGCAACUCACUUUUAACGAGCAGCAUCUGGAUCUCGGCUCAUCUGGGUACACUGCCAACAAUGAAAAAUGCGAGCCAGCAACGAUUGUGACUAGAUCAACGUCUGAUAUUACUACAGUUACGUGCCCGCAUGGCGUUAAAGCGAUCUACAUGCAUUGUUGUAGGAAUCCAGCGUAGUUGGUCUGUAAUAGCUGAUUAUAUAUAUAUAUAUCAAAUAAAAACAGCAGACGCGCAGGUAAAAUGUUCA